CCCGAAAUGGCUCUCUGCAAAGAAGCGGCCUUAUUCACUCUCCCUGCUUUCACAGUCGUCUCCUACAGACGUCAACGUAGGAAGCUCAGGCAAUGAAAGGACUGCUGUGUCAGUGAAUUGUGCUCCGAAAGAAGGUGCAACAUAACACCUACCCCACUGUCAAGAAUGAGAGAGGAUGUUGAUUCUCUCAGUGGAGGAAACACCACACCACCCCAGGUCAGAACUGACCAUUCCGGCAUAUUGAUUAAUAGAAGAACCACAGCUACACCAACUCGUGCCCAAAAUGCAGACUUCAGUGAAUCUGUGAUACGAACCAUCCUGACCAAUCAAGAAGUCAUCAAAGAUCAGAUGGGCAUUUUGGUGAAGCUAGUUCAUCAGUUAAAGGGAACUGCAGAAGAGAGCCCAUCUCUAC